CAGUCGCCGCGGGAAUACGUAGGGUGCAAGCGUUAAUCGGAAUUACUGGGCGUAAAGCGUGCGCAGGCGGUUUUGUAAGACAGAGGUGAAAUCCCCGGGCUCAACCUGGGAACUGCCUUUGUGACUGCAAGGCUAGAGUACGGCAGAGGGGGAUGGAAUUCCGCGUGUAGCAGUGAAAUGCGUAGAUAUGCGGAGGAACACCGAUGGCGAAGGCAAUCCCCUGGGCCUGUACUGACGCUCAUGCACGAAAUCGUGGGGAGCAAACAGGAUUAGAUACCCCUGUAGUCCCUGUCUCUUAUAC
rnacentral:rRNA from 1 species